AAAGUUCUUGUUGUGAAUGAAUGUGUGAUUUAAAAAUAUAUAGACCGGAGCUUGCAAGAACCAUUUUGGAAGUCACUGGUUUAGAGUUGUGAACUUGUUUUUAUUAUUGUUGCUCAGGUUUGCCUCCAAUGAGUAAGAGGAAGGGAGGAGUGAAGUGCUCGAUGGAGACCAAGCAAGGAACCGUCUCAGCCGUGGGAGCUGGAGUUUCUGCGGCGGCUACAGCAGCUUUGACAGCUGUGAUGAGCAGCCCGGCUAUGGCUUUGGUGGACGACAGGAUGUCAACUGAGGGAACCGGCUUGCCCUUUGGACUUAGCAACAACCUCUUGGGAUGGAUUCUUUUGGGAGUGUUUGGUUUGAUCUGGACUUUCUACUUUACCUACACUUCUUCUCUGGACGAGGAUGAAGAAUCUGGUCUUUCACUCUAAACAUGAACUGUAUAUGUUCUUCAUCAGUGUCAUCUCUCUCCUUUUCCAUUUUCGUGUGAGGACAUGAACCAAACAGUGUUAUUCUGGUUACUUGUAAUUUAAGCAAACACCAAAAAAACUAUUUUUCAUGUGUACAUGUUUCACAAUCUGUAGAAUCAAAACACCUAAUACAUUUAAGAAACUUAAUUUUGUUUAUUAUAAUAAAAUCUGCAAGAAAAUAAAAACAUUAUAGUAGUUUAAAUUCUCUAAAUAAAUAUUAGAAAAACUCUUAGAUAUUAUUGAAAAAAGAUAAAACAAGAUGACGAACACAAGAAUCUUCUGGAGCUUUAUCCCACAUUAGUCCAAUUUCAUCGUUUGUUUUGUAAGCUUUUGCUCUAGCCAAAGGACUCCGUCCUCUCUUAAACAUGUACCUGCCUUGGUAUUUGAUUAAGACCACUUGGUGAUCCCGAAUUCUUGAUCGUAAUAUAAUCCAUGUCUGGAACUAUAGAAAUCUUCAACCUUUUGUUUUGGUGGAAAUAAAUCCCCUAUAUAUUAUUUGAGAAGCAUUACAACAUUUUUUGUAGCCACAUGUCAUCACUAGAAUGAUUCUUAGAAUCCUUACAGAAAUAGGUUGGUCCAUCUAAAUAUAAAAUAAGAUUUUUAUUAAAUUAACCAUAAAUACAUUAUUAAUGUGAUGCAUUACUUCCUUAAAUAAAAUUAUGGAAUUGCCUAAUGUGGCUAAAGUAUAUAUAUGACAAUUAAUUAUUUUGAAUAAUAAAGAUUUGAUAAAAAUAAGUGUGUCUUAUAUUAUAUUUAAUUAAUUUUAAACUAUUAAAAUAAAUUAAACAACCAUAGUAACCAUAUAAUAAAAAUUAAUUUUUUUCUUUAUAUAUUAUACUUUGAAUUUUUUUAAACGAGUAUAAAUUACUAAAACUGUUAAAAGUUUCACAUUCAAAUUUUAUGAUCCAUGGUUUAAAUUUUUGUUAUGACAUGAUACAAAUAAUUAAAAAAUCAUAUAAGUUGAAAGUCUCAUUUAAUAAAUAUUACAAUAAAAGAUAUAGGAAUAUAUGUAUAUAUAUAUAUAUAUAUAUAUAUUAAUCUCGAUAUUUAUUAAAUGACACUUCCUACUUAUACGAUUUUGUAAUCAUUUUUAUUUCAUAAAAAACUUAAACCAUGGAUCAAACAAAUUUUUAUGUGAGACUUUAAAAAAAAUAUAAUAUAUACCGAAAAAUUUAAAUUUUAAUUAUAUGGUUAAUUUGAUUUUUUAAUUUAUAUUUUAAUAAUUUAAAGUUAAACAUAAAUGAUAGAGGAUGCACUAAUUUGUAUCAAAUUUUUAUUAUUUUAAAGCAUUAAUUGUCAUAUAUAUUUUAACCACAUUAGAAAAUUUCGUAGUUUUUAUUUAAGAAAAUAAUUGAAAACAUUAAUAAUUAAUUUAUGGUUAGUUUAAUUAAAAUCUUAUUAUAUAUUUAGAUGGACCAAUCUAUUUUUCUAAAGAUUCUAAGAAUGAUUGUGGAGAUGACACGUGGCUACUUAAAAAGUUUCAAUGCUCCUCUUUUAAUAUAUAGGGGAUUACAUGAUGCGGUUUUGAUUAGGACGAUCACAGGCUUUACUACAUGACUAGGCAUAGGCAUACGGGUUGGAUUCGGGUCUUCGGGCUGGGUUUUUGUCUUUCUGGUCUUAAACAUUUAGAUCUAGAUAGGUACCUACAACUUUUGGGUCGGGUUCGGAUCGAUUCAGAUCUACAAUUAAAAUAACUGUAAAAUAAUUGUAAUUUUCGGGUAUAUUUCAGGUUUGGGUCGGUUCGGGUAUAUAAAAUCCUAAAAAGACCCAAAUUACCCAAACUAGAAUCCAAGAUCCCAAAAAUACUCGAAACCUAUAAAAAAAUACCCAAAACCCCUAAAAUAUUCAUAUACCCGAAAAUACCCAAAUUUUCGAAAUCUGAUCCAAAAACCUGAAAAUACCUAAAUUUUUUACUUGAACACCAGAAUUAGAUUUCUGAAAAUCAAAAAAUUUACCCGAAAGUGUAUAAAAAUAUACCGAAAUACUCAAAUAUAUCUAAUAUAUAUACAAUAAGUUUUGAGCAGUUCGUAUAUCCGAUCGGAUCUUGGAUAAAGCCUGAACCCAAACCGAGAUAUGCAGGUGUAAAGAAAGAUGACCCAACAUGUACUUUAGCAUAAUCCAAACCCCUAUUUGUAUUUUCGAGUUGGUUCCGGUUUGGAUUUUCAGAUUCAGAUAAAAUAUUCAGGCCUAUGCAUAACCUUAUGGUACUACAAAUUCAACAAUAAAUUGUAUUACACUCAGUUUAUGUCGAGAUCGAUUGAUAUUUUAGAAUAAAAGUAAUUUUCUAUAUUAAGAAAAAAAAAUUAAAAUCCUGAUUAAUACAUUUUAAUGGAUCGUUUUUGUAAACACUAUCUAUAGAGAAAAACAAUAGAUGAAGCUCUCCUAUAAAUAAGAGUAGUCUAUAAAUAAUACCACACACAUGCCUUUAAAGUCUUAAUCACUCCACACAUUGAACGAACAGCCCCACACACACAAUGGAACCAAAGCUGACACAUCUUUGCUAUUGCUUUCUACUUUUUCUUCCACUACUCUCUCAAUCCGCCAUAGCCAAUCCUUCAUCAUCGCCAAACCAUAGCAACAGUAUCAACUUCAUCGUAUCCUCAUGCCGCACCACGCGUUACCCUACUCUCUGCGUCAAAUGCCUCGCGGCUUUCGCCAGCAAAAUCAGCCGUAACGAAAACCGGUUAGCUCAAACCGCUCUAGCCGUUACUCUAGUCCGGGUUCGGUCCACGACGGCCUACGUAGCUAAGCUGACUAAAGCAAGAAGUGUCAAACGCAGAGAGUACUUAGCCGUGAAAGAUUGUGUGGAGAAUCUUGGAGAUGGCUUAACGAUGUUGGCUCAGUCGAUGAGGGAAAUGAAACGAGUGGGUCGAUCCGGUCGUGGUCAGCAAGAAUUCUUGUGGCGGCUGAGUAACGUUGAGACUUGGGUUAGCGCUGCUUUAACGGAUGAGACAACUUGUCUUGAUGGCUUUGAUGGGAAGUUUAUGGAUGGUGUGGUGAAAAUGGCGAUUAGAAGACGAGUGGUGCAUGUGGCUCGAGUUACCAGUAAUGCAUUGGCUCUUGUAAACCGGUUCGCGUCUCGUCAUAAAUCAUAGAUUCGAGUAAAAAAUCAAAAGAGUAUUCGGUCCUUAAUUAGUUUUUGUCAUAUCUUCCUUUUUCUUCUGUUUCGCUUUUGUUUCUUUAUGAUAGUUUGUAUUUAUUUGUAGUCUUGCGAUAUGUUUAUGCUUUUGUCAUGGUUUGCGUAGAGAUAACGGUUAUAUAUGUUGAGUUUAUGGAAAAAUGGCCACAAAUUAAGAGUAGUUUUGUUUACUUCUGGCAGAAAAUAUUCGAUAUUUAAAAUGCCGUUUGCUAAAACAUUUUCGUUUCCAAUGUUACGUAGUGGCAAAAAUGUCAUUUUAUAUCUAAUAUAUCGCAAUAUGUUCAAUUAAUAUUUGAUUUAUAUCACUGUACGAAAACCUACCUGAAUUCGAAAAUUUCAAAUAACAUACCUGUUAUUAAUGUUCCUGUUAUUAAUGUUUUUUGGUGAAAUCAUACACAAUUCGACACAUCAUAUGCUACCUCAUCUUAUUUUUCCAACGAGAAUACCACACGUGUACAAUUUUUUUAUUAAAAAAAAAGACAAAACAGUCAUUUUAUAAAAAACAAUUUAUUAGAAAAUGUAAAAUUUUAUAAAUUUAUAUUAUUUAGUUAAAUUAACAAAAACUAAUUAAACAAUAAAAUAUUAAUCUUAUGCAAGCGGUAUAUUUGUAAAUUUUAUGAUCCUAUCACAAUAUUGUCCUUAUAAAAGUUAUAUAUGUGUUUUAAUGAUUCAAAUGCAAUGCUAUUGGUUCUUCAUAAGUAUAUAUUUUUAUGAUUUUGUUAAAAAAUUUAGAUUUUACUUCGGGUGAUCCAAACUGAUCCUAUAACCCGAUGUGGAAGAAAACCGAUCCAAACCGAUGUUUAUCGAUCCAUACUUACAAAAAUAUAUGUAUGGGUCGUAGGACGGGUUACAAAAUAUAACCAAAAUCCGAAAACCCGAUAUGAACCUAACGGGUACCUGAACGCUAUAUUUAAAGAAUUUAUGAUGUAAAUUGACUAUAUAAGAUUUACAAAUAUAUCUCUCAUAUAAGAUUAAAAUUUAUUAUUUAAUUAUUUUUUGUUAUUUUUACUAAAUAUACAAAUUUAUAAAUUUUACAUUUUCUAAAAAAUAUUUUGGUUAUUUUUUUGGAAAACAAUUGUACACGUGGCAUCCUCAUUAGUAAAAUUAUAUGACUUAGCAUCCACGUCAGCAAACUUAGAUGACGUGGCGGCUAAAGUGAAGACCGAUGUAUAAUUUUGCCAAAAAAAUAAACAGUAGGUAUGUUAUUUUAAAUUUUUUGAAAAUUUAUGUAUGUUUUUGCACGGUGAUAUAAGUCGAAUAUGAAUUGAACAUAUUGCGAUAUGUUGGAUAUGAAUUGGCUGUUUUCCCGUUAUGUAAUACAAGAAGUUACUUUUCACUAAGUCUUACUCACUACCUUGGCAUUGAGGUCUUUAUACACAAAAAGGAAACAUAAGAGGAUUACUCAACAAUCCUACAAACUAGGACACGUAAUCGCACAACUAGGAAACAUAAUUGCACAAUUUUCUUUCGGAUCAAAUACAUAUUCAUAUUUGAGUUAACUAUUGGAAUAGGAAUUGUAACCUCAGUAAUCAAAUACAUAUACUUUCAGAUCUAUGCAGAAUGCAGAUAUUUUUUGGGGAUAUGCCUAAAACUAACCUAAAACUCUCCGGGUGCUGAGUCGUUGAGAUAAAGCCUGAACUCUAUUGGCUCGUCCUCCCGAGGAUAUAUACUUUCAAAUGAACAUAUAUGCCGGGAAUUGUAUAUUGUUGAAUCGUUCAAAUUAACUAUUUUUACCUUUUUGACCACCUCGAAUGGAGCUAAUUCUUACAACCGAAAGAGUUUCGUUAUGUUCACACGUUGCGCAUGAGCAUUUUAUAAAAUCUAAAUAGUCUUAUCUAUGAUGAGAAGGCAUUACUUCUUUCUAGAUAGGUACGUAAUUUUUAGCAUAUCGGGAGCAGGUGGGAAACUUUAUCAAUUGACUAAACAUUGAGUGCUCUUUUAGUUAAUAUAAACAAAAUUUCAAAUUACUAGUUUUCUGGAAAGGCAUAAUAAUUUGUAGAAGGUGAGUAGGUGACGAUUAGGUUAUCGCCACAUUUGCAAAACAUGCAGUUAUUUAAAAUAAUGUUUAGCAAUACUGCUUUCCUUGUCAGAAAAGCAUUUUAGUUCAAUAAACGAGGGCUAGGCAUAAAUAUUCAUUACUUGUUUUAUACAUGUUACUUUGACCUAUAUUGUUGAAUUUUGCUACUUAUAAAUACAAGAUAAAUAACAAACAUAAAAAAAAAGUUAAUGAUUCACUUUAAUUUUACUCGUUACUUAUUUUACGAUUAAAAAAUUGAUAAAUAAACCAUAAAAAUAAAAAUCCUAAACAUAUAUUUAUUUGUCGUAAAAAGUAAGCAAUACUUCAUAUCAAAAUAUAUGUAUUUUGUCUUUCCUCUUGCAAAUAUUUUAUUUGAAAUAAUUUUCAUGUUUUAAUUAAGUUGAGUAAAAAAAAAUUUCAUAACCUUCUCAAUAUUAUCCUCCAAACAAUUUUUAGAAACGUGGAAAUAUAUCUAAAUAAUUCAUAAGUAUUAGUAAAUAGAAAAUAAUCGAACGAAACAAAUAAUUUAUAAAUAACAUAUUUUUGGACAAGUAUCGGAAAGAGUAACAUCUUUAGACAAAGUAUUUGAAAACGGCUACAUAUUUUCGAAUAGUUAAAUAUAAAUAUAAAAAUUCAUUACUCGGCGAAAGUAAAUCUAAGUAUUAAAUAUACGGAAAAAACAAGUCCUCGACAAUAAACAACACAACUUUUGCUAACCAUCAAGUAGUCUCGAAGAAUAUUUAAAUCUGGUGAGUGUUAAAAAUCGGGAAAAUGGUCAAUUCUUCUAUAAACUAACAACUCCCGGUUUUUUAACACACGAACUUUGAUGCCAAGCCGAAACCCACACGAACAAAUUUAUUUUUUGAAUUACAUACACGAACUUUUGAUUUUAACCUAAUUGCCACAAACCGUAAACAGUGUUAUGUUAGCCGUCAACAGCUUUAAUCUCUCAUUUAAAUCUGGUUAAAUAAAGAGGAAAACAACUUUGUAUUGCUUUUCUUCUUCACUUAGGGAUUAAUUCAAUAUUAGGAUUUACGACAACAUAGCUUUCACGAUGACAGAGCAAAAAAGAAUUAUCAUUGUGAGAUGAGACUUCCAUAUUUCAAUUUACUUUUAGGAGAUAAUAGUCAUAGAAAAUAUAAAAAAAAGUCAUAGACUUCAGUGCAGAGAAGGCUUACAGUAUAUGCAUCAUUGGUUCCUUGUGGAAUAUAUAAAGACAUUAUUCAAGUGCUCGGGAGUGUCGGGAUUUUCGUGUGUUAAUCUCUUGCUUUCCGGUCCAGUGCGUGCAGAAAAGGGGUCUCUUGGUGUAUGUUACGUCUAUGUAAUGGUUGCUUCGAGGCUUUGAUUCUGCUCAUCCUUUCGUUUGCUCCGUUGCUCCUCCCUCGUCCUUUUCGUGCUUCUAGGCUCUGAGGCUUUCCUCGCCGCCAAUUCAGUCUGAGCUCUUCUCAUGCCGCUGCGAUAGCCAGUUCCUGAAAAGUAUGGUUUUGCAAUGGUUAUUGGCUUCUCUGUUGGCUCCUAUUCUCAUUGUUGAUGACUGUUUUCUUGUGACUGUUUUCUUGUAGAAUAUGGCCAUUAGUGAUGAGAAGCACUUAGGCUUUGGAUUGGUAAACUCCAUGGGAUGGGAUCGGGUCUCAGUUUUUGCCUCUGUUCUUUAGCUUCUCUGUUUCUGUUUUUCUUUUGUAUAGUUUGGUUACCUUAUUAAUGAAAACCUUUUCUUCAAAAAAAAAUAUAUUCAACUUCCACGAAAGCUUUCUCUCUCACAGAUUUCUCUGUUUCUACAACAAGAGAGCUUGAGAAUGGUUUAUCUUCAAAUUUUCCAUUCAUAGACAAACAACAACACAUAAUUGCCGCAAAACAAAAUAGAUCAUACCAGAAAAACAUUAAAAUCCAAAAGACAGCACAUAAAAAGCCUUAAAACAAUCCAAAAUAAUAAGUCAAUUUGAAAUACAUCCUAAUUCUGAAACAAUAAAGUAUGUUAGUCGACCACUUGACUUUGUGUUGGUUGACUUGAUCCUUCUACUUGUGCGACAUUCUUCUUCUUUGGUGGUCUUUGAACUGGGACUCCAAUAUUUUUGCACUUCCUUGCAUUAUGUCCACCUUCUCCACAUCGGCCACAAUGAAUGAUCCUUUUCUCCCUUGAAACCUUUGAAGGAGAUUGAUUCCUAACCUUAGUCUUUUUCUUACUUGGAGACUCGUUCCUUUCUUUUAUCCGCUUAGGAAUUUUCUUUCUUCCUCUUGAUGAUUCUGGUUCUGUUGGUGGUGGAAUAAUCUCUGAAUCUCCUGUUUUUUUCCAAAAGUUUAUCCCAUGGACAGCCUUAAUUGGUGUUUCAUACUGCUUUCUCCACGUCGAGGUGAGGUAACAAGCAGCCAUAUAAUCCUCUUGUUUGCGCUUCUUUGCAGAAAUGAAUUUCAGGGCAUGACGACAAGGCAAUCCCGGCAUCUCCCACUUUCGACAAGUGCAAGUACGAUCAACCAUUUUCGUUUUGUAUGAACUGUUUUUCUCUUUCACUUCAAAUACCUCAUAUCCGCAAGGAUAUAUAGUGCAAUGACGUAUUUUACGUUGCUCCUCGCUGACCUUUUCCAUUGCUUUUAGACUGAAUUUCCCUCUGUGAUUCAUUGCUUUCAUCUUCCUUGCCUCAAUGCGCAACAUAGCUCUUCUGCGUAUUGUUUCCAACAUUUCCACGAGUGGCAUUGAUCUAGCAGGGUCAACCGCAUGAUUAAAAGACUCAGAUAUGUUGUUGCUUACAUCAUCACAAGUCGAGGAUGGAGUAAAGAAGGCAAGGCUGCAAUUUUUGGAAUUCUUCAUCAUCAUCGAAUCAUAUACACUCAUGUCAUAUGCCUUCACCUCAUCCACCCUCUUGUUGUACUGCGCCAUGUUGUAGCUCUUGGAAUUUGCCUUUCAUGUCAGCUCUAUGCGGAUGUUUCUUCUUUAAGUUUGCGUAAAUAUGUCUUGCACACAUCCUGUGCUCAACCAUUGGCAAGAUAUUUGAUACUGCAUUAAGUAACCCCUGAAAAUAAAUAAAAACUUCAUUUUUAUCCUCAUACUAACAUAAAUAAGCUCUAAAAAUAAAGAAAAACUUUGAUAUUAUUACCUUUUGUCUAUCUGAUAUGAUAGUGAAGCCUUCACCAUCAUGGAGAUUCAGGUCCGUCUGCAAUUUCUCAAUAAACCAAACCCAAUUGUCUUCACUCUCGACGUCAACAACAGCCCACGCUAUAGGAAACAUUUGGUUAUUUGCAUCUCUGCCAACAGCUGCUAACAACUGACCCUUUGUUGUGCACUUGAGGAAGCAUGCUUCAAGACCAAAGAUCGGUCGACAGUGAGCACACCAAGUCUUCUUCAAUGCAGAAAAGCAAACGUAAAAUCUAUUGAAAACAUCUGAACCAUCAUCUCCGUUGAAUGUCUCGAGCUCUACCGUUGAAUCCUCAUUGGACCUAGUUUAAAACAAAUAAAUAUUAAGUUCAAAUAAAGACAAAACCUGACAUUUAUAAAUACAAAACAUGAAACACUUACUCUAACAACUCUAGCCGGUAAUCUUUAAGCCUUGAGAACUGCUGAUCAUUCUCCUCUUUGAUCAUUUCUAAAGCCCUUGUCUUUGCAUUUCUACACUGAUCUAUGGUCACCGUCAAUUCCCAACGCUUCUGAAUAUCAACCAAUAUCUCCUUUGGCAUAAUCUUGGGGUCGUCUCUAAGAUCAUCUUUGAACAACUUGGCAAUGACUUCUUGUAUAAUCAGCCUUGAGUACCCACUUUUACUGCAACUAUGAUCCUUCACAUACACUUUAACCAUCCAUUUUUGCAAUGGUGCUUCAUAGGAGCAGUAUAUCCUCCACAUACAAGCUUCUUCUCCUUCUUCUGUUUCACUAGCACAUUUGAGUUCAGAUUUGUCUUUAUCCCAACGGACAUACUUCACAUUCCAACCAUAUUUUAACACAUAAUCUACCAUCGCUUGCUUGAAAGCCUGUAAACUAUCAAAGGCUUGUUUUAACUGAAGCUCACCACUGCCUUUCUUGUAUGUGAAGUAACCAUUUCCUUCAUUAGCAUCUUGAUCAUCAUCUGAGCCGACAGGUGUAGCAAACAAAUCAACAUCUUCAUCUACAAAAUCCCUCACAUUUCUCUCAACUCUUGCUUCUUCAUAACAUGGAGACCUAUCUCUCUCAGUAUCUCUCUCAGUAUCUCUUUCAUACUCAUAUCUCUCUGCAUCUCUUUCAUUUUCUUCCAUCCCUGCCUCGUCUCUCUCUGUUUCACACUCCAAAAAUAUGUUGCUACUGCAAAAAUAAACAGCAGGCCAUCAAAAGGAGAGUAAAAUGACCUGAUUUUGAGAAUUUCAGAGAUAAACAAAGUUCACUUACCUCAUUCUCGAGCUUUGUUUGGUGCCAAUCCACCAAUUGCAUAAAACACGUCUCUAGCUAAUGAGAAUACCGAUUAGAAUCACCCUCAUUCUACAGAAAGUCUUUUCACUCUCUCUUUUCUGUUUUUGUCGUGAAACCUAAUUCUGAUUUUAUUCCCCAAGAAGAAGAAGACUAAAACGACGUGAUUUUUUUUUUGUUUGGCUUAACCAGAAUUAAAUGAGAAACUAAACCAAAUCAGACAUGUCAUUAAGCCGUUGACGGCUAACAUAACACCGUUUACGGUUUGUGGUAAUUAGGUUAAAAUCAUGUAACUCAAAGAAUAAAGUUGUUCGUGUGGGUUUCGGCUUGGCGUUAAAGUUCGUGCGUUAAAAAACCGGGAGUCGUUAGUUCAUGGAGGAAUUGGCCAUUUUCCAGUUAAAAAUCAAGAUUACUAAGAAAAUGCAUCAAAAAACUGCCGUAUAAUGGAUAAACAAAUCGUACAGAGUUCAGAUCACCAUAACGUGGAACGCAAGUGAAGGAUUAAAAGUGUUGAAACAAUUAGAGCGGAACAUAAUUAAAAGCCUCUAUGCAAAGUUCAACAGGAUACAAUACUAUAGGAGGAACAGCUUUAUGGACUUAAAACCUUGAACACAUACUCUGUAGAAAAUAUUCGAAGGAAGUAAACACAAAUAAGAUAAAGAGAACAAAUUUUGACCAAAAAAAAAAAGAAAAGAGAAAAAAUAAGAGAACACAACUCAAUAAUAACUCACAAAACAUGACCCAAAGCAGAUCAGAAACCAAGUUAUCCGAUACAACACCGUAGGAACUUGGAUAUAAAUUUGACUUUGAAUCCGGUUUCAGAAUAACCAAUCUACCGAACCUGAACAAUACCAGCACUAACCAGCUUCUGUAUCUUGUUCAUCACCAUUGGGUUCUUCAUAUGCUCUUGUGCCGCUUUUGGGUUCUCUUGGAAAUCAACCAGUACCUGCGAUAUUCAUUCCACAGAACUCUCAAACUCAGCCUGUGAGCUAUGAAUCGAUUUCAGAUACAAUUUUCACUUCUGUUUAUACCUGUCUCAUCACCGGAUCAGACAAUAUGUUCUGAACUUCUGGAUCUUGCAUCGCCUUUGCUUGUCUCUCCUUCAAUUCUUCUGGUGUCAGGUCACCGCGGUUCGCUUUGUUGAUCUGCUCCACACAUCUGAGUGAUAACAUAGCAAACAAUUUCAAUACACCGACUCAGAUUACAUGAAUUUAACAGUAGCAGACAAGCAACAGUUGCAAACCUUCUAACACCAUCGAGCAACUCCUGGUUCUUAGGAUCAUGCUUCAGCCCUUCUUGAUACGUCUCCAUGGCUUUGUCGUACUCCUUCAUGAAAAACUGAAUAGCUCCUUUCCGACUGUAUCCUUUGGUGAAGCUAGAGUCAAGCUCAAUGCAUUUCUCCGCAUCUUUCAAUCCCUCUGGUAAAGCUCCUAGCUUGGUGUAACAAGCAGCUCUGUUGCUGUACGCCUGCAGACCAGGAAAGAAAACACCCACUCAGAUUCAAUGUUUCCUUAUACAAGGUGCUUAGCUCAAGACGAAACUGAAAUGCUCUCACCCUCACGUCCUUUGGGUUUCUUUUGAUUGCUUCUGAAUAGUGCCUCACCGCCUCUGGAUACUUUUGCUCUUUAAAAAAUCCAUUACCUUCAUCCAAGGAGUGAUGUCCAAUGCUUUAUCCUUUAUAUCAAAUAACGACGUUGGUUGUUAAUCAAAGGUCAGUUACCUUUGUCACGCUCCUCCUCGGCUACCUUAGGAUCAAAGUACUCCUGUUGCUCCAGCUCUUUCUCAGCUUUCUCAGCAUCGUUUAGUUUCUUCAACGUAUCAGGAUUCCGAUGUUCUGUAAGCGCUUUUUGAAAAGUCUCGAUCGCAGGUUCAAAGUCCUUUGAGCAUUUCGCCAUCUUCACCAGCGCAGAACCUUUCCUAGUCAAAGCUUUUGCUAUCAUCUUGAAGUCAAAACGAAGCUCUCUGCCUCUCUCAACAGCCUUGUCACAGUCUUGAAUGCACUCCUCAUACUGACAUUCGAUUCGAAGAAAUUAGCCCUCAAAACGCCAAACACAAACACAUAAAACACGUCUACAUCCAGAUGAACUAUAACAGAACAAUUAAAAACUUCAAUCCAAAACAUCUUAAUCUCCAGCAAGAAGCAGAUCCAAGUUAUUAAAACUCAUCAAAAUGACAAAAAUGCACAACAACUAUCUAGUUCAUGAAAAUUAGAUUCCUUUCUUCCUCUAAAGAUACGAGCGUAAAGCCAAUUCCUCAGAAAAGAACACUUAACAGAGUAACACAAGGACAACAGCAGCAACAAACAAAACUGAACGUGUAAGGAAGUUAAAGCAAGUACCUUUCCCAUCUCAAGAUAAACGGCAGCACGGUUCGUGAGAUAGGAAAUGUCCUCAUCGUCAAGCUCCAUCGCCUUACUAUAAUGUUCAAUAGCCUUCUCAAACUCCUUCUUCUUGUAGGCAGCGUUUCCUUGCUCUUUCUCCUUCUUCGCCUCCUCCUUCCUCUCUUUCUUCUCCCUCUCCUCCUCCGUCAACUCCAUAGGCUCCGGCUCCGGCUCAGGCUCCGGUUCAACCUUCUUCACCGGCUCAGCCUCUUUCAUCUCCGUGUCUUCACCCUUCGCACCACCAAACUUAACACUCAACAAAACACCCAACGCCUGCAUCACUCUCUUAUCCUUCAUGUACAAAUUAAGAUUAUUAGGGUUCUUCUGAAUCUCCUGCAUCGUCUUCACGAAAUCAGGCUGCUGCAAAUAAACCCUAGUCCCCGGAUCCGCCGUCAGCUUCGCCCACAUCUCCUCCCCUUGGAACGCCUCAACGAACGGAUUCGACGAUGGCCCGCGAGGUCUCGACGCGUCGGCUAACCCCGACUUCAACGUCUCGUUACUCGGAUCAACCUCUAAGCCUUUCUUAUACGCAUCGGCUGCUUCUUUGUACUGAGAUAGGCCCAUGUAUGCCGCGCCUAAUCGGCUGUACCCUUUGGCCCAGUCCGGUUUGAGCUCUAUGGUUUUCUUGGCGUCGGAUAGUGCUUCGGCGUAGCGGUGGAGGGAUGCGUAGGCGGCGGAUCGGUUCGAGUAGAGGAUGUGGUUGGUUGGGGAGAGGUUGAUUGCUUCGGUGAAGUGGGUGAUUGCGGCGGCGUAAUCGCCGGAGGAGAAGGCGGCGUUUCCUUUUGAUUUUGCUUCUUCUGCCAUUGACGAUGGAAUCGAAUGCUAUUAGUGUUGUGUGGCAUCUUCGAUGUUGGCGAAAGCUUAAAAAGAGAGAGGAGAACUGAGUAUGGUGAGCGACCGGGAGAGACGACGAGAGGGUUCUCGAAAUUUCGAUUUGUUUUUCUCCCUGUUCCGGAACACGGUAGGCGCUACUCGGGCGGUCGGGUUGGGCCUAGCGCCUAAAAAGAAAAUCGGGGAUUAAUCGGAAAUUAUGCGGGACAGAAUUUUUAGAUGGUUUACUAUGUUAUAAAACAUGUUAAUCUUCAACUGUGUAUAACAUUAAUACAUUUUCAUGUUUAAGAUUGUAUAAAACACACAAAUAGAAUAUAUAAACUUAAUAUAGUGUAAUUUUCAUCAAAAUUAUGAAUAUAAAUGAUAUUUAUAAAAUUUUAGAUCAAAUAAACAAAUAAAAAUAUUAUUUAAACCUAUUUGGCAUAAACCGGAGCGGAAAAAUGACGCGUAGCGCCUAAACGGCCGAUUUUUAGAAUCGGGGUUUUUCUGACCUGACCUUGGAACGCAUAGCUCCAGGGAGAGGUCAAACCUCUGACCUUGGGGUUAACAGCCACAUGCUCUAACCAACUGAGCUACUGAAGCUUUUAAAAUAUUGUAAAUCUUUCACGUAUAUUACUCAAUAAUAUGCGUUAGGGAGGUGUUGAGGCGCGCAACAUUGUUCUGAAGCGUCUUGAGGUAGGAAAGAGCGCAUAGUAAACACACUUGUUAGUUUGAUAUGGCCUAUAAAAUUAUAGUUUUGAUUCGUUUAACUCGUUACCUUAUAUAUUUUACUAUUUUAAUAAUUAUCAUAGUAGCAUACAUGUUUAUUUUAUUGUAUAGUUUGAAUCUUUUGGCUGAGAAUACCACAUCUAUACAUCUAAUUUCAUACCGUUUUUAUGGUUGAUAUUGUGAUAUUGUGAUAUUGGAUUACCAAUCAAACUUUUCAUAUGUUUCAGUAAAUGAAAUAGCAUUCACACUGAUUUUGUAUUAAGUAUAGCUGAACGACUAGUAAUAUUCACACACACACACACACAAAACUGGAAAGAAUGUCAAAUUAUAGAAUCUUGCAAGUCCUUUUCCUGCGACAAUGAUCCCAUGCGGCGGCGAUCCUCAUUUGAACUUUCUCAAAAUCAUAAACCCGACACGGAAUCGUGAUUCGACCCGGGUAAUCGAACCCAUGAACCAGCUCUGCUUGCUCCAACAACUCUCCGAACAAUGGGUAAUUAAAGUAGAUCAACGGCACCACAACCCGCCGCGUGUCAGCGUCUGAUUCGCCGACGUGAACCACCAGAUGUCCUUUCGGAACAACCUUCAUCAACGGAGACGCGUUCGGAUCCUUACCCAGUCGGAUCUUGCUAUUACCCGAAAUCUUCUCGCCACCGCAUAAUCUCUUGGCUCCACGGCUUAGACACCGUGCUAAUCAGCGGAUUCCGGCGAUCGGGUUUGUGAUUCGGGUCCUGCAUUGACGUUUAUUCGUUUGAGUUCUUCUGCAUCGAAUCCAUUUGAAGAUCUUGACAAAUCUGUGUCCCAUUUUGAAACCUAUGACUCUCUCCAUGCCUGUUCUGUCAGAUACCGAUUAAACGAAUGUGAAGAAAGUAGAGGCUUUUAGACAAAACAAUGAGAUGGGUUUAUCUUAAAUCGUAUUUCAAGAAAUGGGUUUGAUUAAGUUUUUGUUCUCUCUGUUUUUUUAAAAAAAGUUGGAGAAGACUGUUUGGGUACGAGAAGGAAGGGAAACCUCUUAUAUGGCUUUGAGAGCUGCGGCCUAUGCGAUGGUGGUAGAAUAAGUGUGCGUGCACUUUUUAAUGUACACUUCUGCACAUCAAGUCAUUGAUAGCUUAUAGCUUAGUUCUCCAAGUCUUUUGUUUUGGUUAAAUUUUUAUUUUUAUUUUAAACAAGUUCUUAAGAAUUGGUAGUACUGUAUUUCCGUAUUUUUUUUCUCAGGUAGAUAUUUAGAAAUGUCAAAUUUCUUCCAUUUUAUUCUUCUAAUUGUGCAACCAUUUGCAUUCGUAGAUCCGUAGUUUUCAUUUUUUCAAGUAAAGUUACAAAAAGUUGAAAUCUUGUAACAAAAAAUUACGAAAUUUUCAUUUUAUCAUUUUCAGAACAAAAAAAAUGAAUAUCUUGUCUUUUCUAAUUGCUUUUCCAUAUAAGACGAUAGUUUAAGGAUCCGAAACCAGAAGAGAAAUUACAUGAAUCUUGCCUAUCACAAUGGAGAUCUACUAUAUCGUUUAACUUGACAAUUUGUAAAGAUAUUUUACCACUUAAUUAUCCCAAAGAAAAUUAGUUAUUUAAAUUUAUUUUUCUGAUAACUUAGUGAUUGUGGCAUAUGUAACAACUAAUUGGAACUUGGAAGCAUCUGCGAUGAUUCGAUUUGAUUUUGUUAGUGUUUAUGAUCUAAGGAAGAAGAUGAAGUUGUAACAAAAUUUUCUCAUUUCCGUUAAUCGUAAAAGUGUACAACAUUAAGCUUAUAUAGUGAGUUUGUCACCAGUUUACAAGAAAUAAUAAACCUGAGACUAAACCAUAUUAAACUGAUAUUGUUUACACUAAUAUUCUCCCUCAAGAUGGCAAAUAGAUAGACUUUAAAGCCAUCUUUCCCACCAAUGAGUAAAACUGAGGAGAGAACAAAUGUUUAGUGAAAAUGUCAGCCACUUGAUUGUUGGUGCGAACAUGAAGAAGCUUGAUGAAGCCUCAGAUAACAUGUUCUCUAACUUGAUGACAGUCUAGCUCAAUAUGCUUCGUGCGCUCGUGAAAAACCGGGUUGCUAGCAAUGUGUAUAGCAGCCGUUGAAUCACAGUAGAACGCCACCGGACCAUGUUGAGGAGAUUGAAGUUCAGCCAACAAUUUACGCAACCAAAUGACUUUGCGUGAACCAUACUCCAUUGCUCUAUACUCAGACUCAGCCGAAGAAUGAGAUACAGUCUGUUGUUUCUUAGACUUCCAAGAUAUCAAGGCAUUACCAAGAAACAUGCAGUAUCCAGAGGUGGAGCGACAAGAGUCUAAGCAAGAAGCCCAGUCUGCAUCUGAAAAUGCCUUGAGAACUACGUCAGACUCAACACAAUAAAAAGACCAAGUCCACUAGUGCCUUUCAAGUAAUGAAGAACUCUCAGAGCCGCUUGAUGAUGAGACUUCUUCGGAGCCGAUGUGAAUUGACAGGGUUUGUUCACAGCGAAAGUGAUGUCCGGUCUUGUAAUUGCCAAAUACAUCAGGCGUCCAACCAGACUUCUAUAUGCAGAAGGAUCCUCAAGCAAGGGUUUGGAAUCCAUACAAAGUUUAGCAUUCGGAUCCAUUGGAACAAGAGAUGGUUUACAUGACAAAAGCUCGUGUCUUCCAAUAAUCCCAAUGUAUAUUUGCGUUGACAAACAGAGAUGCCUCUGUCAGAGUGUGCGACUUUAAGACCAAGAAAAUACUUCAAAGCACCAAGGUCACGAAGUUUAAAUGCAGCACUCAGAUCAAGUUUCAACUGAUCAACAUCUUUAUCAUCAUUGCUCGCGAUGAUUAUGUCAUCAACAUAAACCAAAGCAGCUGUAUACACGCCUUGAAGAUUACGAAUUAACAAGGUGUGAUCAACAUUAGAUUGCUUGAAGCCAAGAUCAAGGAGUGUGCCACUAAACUUUAGGAACCGCUGUCUUGAAGCUUGCUUCAACCCAUAGAGACUUUUGUAAUCUAUGACUGCAUUAGGUGGCAAAUGUUCCCCCUUCUUUGGUGUAUAACCUGGAGGUAAUGUCAUGUAGAUCUCUUCAUCUAAGUCUCCAUUCAAGAAGGCGUUAGAAAUAUCCAAUUGUGUAAGACUCCACUUCUUUGCAGCAGAUACAGAAAGGAGAGUCUUAACAGUGGUCAUUUUCGCAACUGGUGAAAAGGUUUCAGCAAAAUCUAUACCUUCUUCUUGCGUGUAGCCUUUGGCCACUAGACGAGCCUUGUACCUCUCUAUUAUUCCAUCAGGAUUGAUCUUGAUUUUGUAAACCCAUUUGCAUCUAAUGGCAUGCUUUCCUGGUGGUAGAGAACAAACCGUCCAAGUGUUUGUGCUUUCCAGCGCUAGAAGUUCCUCAUUCAUAGCUUUCAAACACUCAUCAAAGUGUUUAGCUUGAGUAAAACUUGUAGGUUCUAGAUAUAGAGCAACAUCACAUAUAUAUGUUUUGUAUUCGUCAGACAAACUUUCAUAGGACAUGUAGGAUGAGAGUGGAUAUGGAAUCUCAGUAUCACUCUCAGCUACAUUGCAAUAGUUGUCCUGAAGAUGUGGUGGAAGCUUAGAGAUCCUCUUGCCUUCAGCAACACGUUUGCCUUUAGCCUUAUCAGAAUGAGAAGAUCCUAUUUCAGCAACACGUUUUCCCUUAGCUUUAUCAGAGUUAGAAGAUCCCUCUGGUACUAACUGUUCAACAUUCUCUGUUAGUGGAGCAGGAAUAGCUCCCGGGGUUGGAGAAGAAUCAGAAGUAUGGUCUGAGACAUUCUUUGUUUCCGGAACAGAGGAGAAAAUAUCUUCAUAUGUGUCAGUUGUGGUCUUCGCGAACAGAAAGAUCUCCUCAUUAAAUGUGACAUUUCGAGACAUAUGCACUUUAUUAGAUUCCAAAUCCAGAAGCCUGUAACCUUUGUAGCCUGAAGGAUACCCCAAAAACACACACGGUUUGGAACGAGGCUGAAACUUGUGUCUAUUCUUCGGUGAGGUUGAACAAUAAGCUAGACAACCAAACACCUUGAGGCCAUCAUAAUCAACUUUCUUCUUCGUAAGUACUUCAUAGGGAAACUUGUCUUUAAGACGAGGAGUAGGAAUUAUGUUGAUUAUGAAUACUGCAGUGAGAAUACAGUCACCCCAAAGCUCAAGUGGAGUGUGAGACUGGAACAUCAGAGCACGCGCAACGUUCAAUAUGUGUUGAUGUUUCCUUUCCACCAAUGAGUUUUGUUCAGGAGUUUAUGGACAUGAAUGAUAAGCCACAAUGCCUUUCUUCUUAUAGAGAUCAAUAAACUUCAACUCAGGAGCGUUAUCUGAUCAUACUGUCUUGAUAGAGGUCUUGUAUUGUGUUUCAAUCAUUUGAAUGAACUUGGGAAACACUGACAAAACCUCAUCCUUGGUGCGAAGAAGAUAACUCCAAGUCACACGUGUGUGAUCAUCAACAAUGGUCAGAAAGUAUCUGAAUCCCUCAGCUGUAGGCACAUAAAACGGUCCCUAGAUGUCUAUGUGUAAGAGAUCAAAGGCAUUAUCGCAGAUAUGAUUCUUAGAUUGAUACAUGAGAUGUUUUUGUUUUGUUAGUGGGCAUAUGGCUCAGUGAAAAGAUUAUUUAUUCCUUUUUUUGUAGCCAAGAACAUCUAUAACAUAGUUUGUUUUUGAAACAGAUGGAUGACCUAAACGAUUGUGCCACAAGUUAGCAUCAAUCAUAACGUUUGAACAAGAAGCAAACGACUGUUCAAGUAUCUCUGAUCCUGCUAUAUCCACUGCAUCCAGUACAUAUAAGUUGGAGAUACGAUCAGCCAUCCCAAUCAUCAAUCCCUUGAUAUGAACCUGUAUCAUACAAGCAUCCAGAUCAAAUAGGACUCUAUAACCCAAAUCUUUAGUGAGCUGGCUUACGCUCAUGAGAUUCAAUCUAAAGUCUGGAAGAUAUAGAACAUUCUGUAGAAUCAAGGAGUCAUUAAGAUGUAUAGUGCCAAUUCCGGUAAUCUUAACUCAAAGACAAGUCGGAAGAGUCACAGAAGUAUUAAUAGAUCAGUGAAAUCAGUAAACAAAUCUCUAUCAUGAGCCACAUGAUGAGUAGCUCCACUGUCUAUUACCCAUGAAUCUGGACAUAAGGCAUUCCUUGUUUCCCUCAACAUGCCUACAAAUCACAAUGCGGAGGAGGAAAAUGACAUACCAGGCAAAGCAGUGAUCAUUCCACCAAAAGAUGAUGAAGACGCAAUGCAAUUCACUUGAGCUGGUUAAGUUUUCAGCUGAGAGUUGAAAUAUGCAAUGACACCUUCAAUCUGAUCCUUGGUGAGGUUAUUAACAACAUUAGAGACCGAGUCAACAAAUCCAACUUGAGCAACAAUCGGUUUAGAAGAGUUGUUGUAUUUUGGAUUGGAUGAGCUUUUGUCAGUUUGUUGCUUUCCUUUGUGCUUGAAGCCAACAUGGUAACCAUGAAUUUUAUAGCAAGUGUCCACAGUGUGACCAUUAUAGCCACAAUGAGCACAUACUGGUCUGUUCUGUUUCGCUGGGAAUGAAGUCUGAGCUGCGUUGAUAAGAGGCACAGACUGGACAUGAGCAGUAACUUGAAAUGCGGUAGCAUUUAGCACUGGAGAAAUGUUCCUCUAAUUGAAGUCCUGAUCCAAAAGAGUGUAGAUCUCAGAGAGCUCCGGAACAUUCUUCUUCAUGAUGAUUUGACUCCUGAUCACAGAAUAUGAGUCAUUUAAACCAGCUAAGAACUUGAUGACUUUAGCGUGAUCUGCCUUCGUUUCUGUAGCCUUGCAGCAAUCACAAUGGCGACAAGUAUUGACACAGUUAGCACCAUCUAGCUCAUCCCAGAGAGUCUUAAGAGUGGUGUAGUAUGUAGCCAAAUCCAUUGAGCCUUGCUGGAGGGACCAAAUCUGUUGAGAUAACUGAUAAGAUCUUGGAAGAUUUGUGAUGUGAAAACGAGUUUUCAAAUCUCUUCAGCGUCAUUGAAACGAAGAAUGCUCUUGUAGAUCUGCUUAGAAACCGUAUUGAGAAUCCAAGAUUUGACCAUCGAAUUACAUCUAGACCAGAUUCGAAAUUGAUGAUGUGAUUCAAGAGGCCCAGCAGUAGAUCCAUCAAUGAAUGCUAACUUAUUCUUAGCAUCUAAAGCAAUCUUCAUAGCACUACACCAGUUAUCAUAAUUGGUUCCAUCUAACACCUCAGAUAUGAGAGAUAGACCUGGAUUAUCGCCAUUCGUAAGGUGGAAUGGUGAAUGAAUGCUAUCCGAUGAAAGUUCUGCGAUGAUCGGAGGAUCGGGAGACGGCGGAGUCGAAUUUUCCGGAACUGGAGUUCGACGAGCUGCCGAUUGAGUUUGACAAACACCGCGACGUGAUGAUCGGCGAAGAACAAUCAUCGUUUCGUGAUUUGAUUUGAAUCUUGGUGGAAUAGCCAAGUUUUUCGAUCACGAAAAAAAGAAAGAACGAUCAAGAGAAUCAUCGAUUGAACGAGGUCAACGAAAGAGAAGAAAGAAACGGAUCGGUUGAGGUUUACGCCUCAACGCUUUGAUACCAUGUUAGUGUUUAUGAUCUGAUGUUAGUGUUUAUGAUCUGAGGAAGAAGAUGAAGUUGUACCAAACUUUUCUCAUUUCUGUUAAUCGUAAAAGUGUACAACAUCAACCUUAUAUAGUGAGCUUGUCACCGGUUUACAAGAAAUAAUAAACCUGAGACUAAACCAUUAAACCGAUAUUAUUUACACUAAUAGAUUUCUUAGUAAUAUACUCCCCAUUUUAGGUUUUGUAUGUAGUUUCUUCCCCAUUUUAGGUUUUGUAUGUAGUUUCUUCUGAACGGUAGUUAUUAAUUAAUGAAGAUUUGUUUGCUUUGUUUAUUAUAGUUAAGUCGAAAUUAAUAAUAGUUUCGAAAAGACAACUUGGAACAACGCAUCUAUAGAUAAAUGUUAUAGAGAUAUAGUUAGUGGAGAGAUUACAUAAAUUAAUUUCACAAUCUAUUUAAAAAGCAAUUAUAAAUUGAUACACAUAAAACCUUAACUUGAAAAAGAAGACUAAUAAAGAAGAGGUUUGAUGAAGGCAAACGGCAUGUACCUUUGUGGGUGGGAGUCGUGGGACAGAGAGUGGGAUUUGGUCGACACGGCACGUCCGAUCUUUGUAACAUGCCCCGAUUCACCGAAAGUGCUUCGUUCCGUUUCAGAAUUAUUGUGUUGUAUAACUCUUAUAUUAUUUGUUGGUAUAACAUAUUUUGUUCUGAGAAUUAAAAUUUAGUUAGAUAAACUACAAAACAUGCAUUUAUUUAUAAUAUAUACGCAUGAUGUUUUGUCAAAUUGAUGCCUUCUUUAAACAACGCCAACAAUUGAAGUUUUGGGAUGACUGCACUUUUUUACCAGAAGUUUUGCGAUAUAGUUAAGGAGGAUUUAACUCUUAUGGUUAAUAAAUUUCUUUUUGAAGGGAAUAUAGCCAAUGGUCUGAAUGAUACAAAUAUAUGUCCUAUCCCAAAGACAACUAAGCCUAAUGAUAUGGCUCAAUUCAGACCCAUAAGCUUGUGUAAUGUCAGUUACAAGAUCGUCUCUAAGGUCUUAUGCCAGAGACUAAAGAAAGUCUUGCCAGGAUUGAUAUCAGAAACCCAGUCAGCCUUUGUUGAUGGAAGACAGAUUUUUCAGAUAAUAUCAUGAUUGCUCAAGAAAUGUUUCAUGUCCUGCGAACUAAACCGAGUGGACGUUAUAAAAGGAUGGUCAUCAAAGACAUAUAUGAGUAAAACAUAUGAUAGGAUGGAAUGGUCGUUUAUUGAAGCUGUGAUGCGAAAGAUGGGAUUCUCUGAAACAUGGAUCACCUGGAUUAUGAGGUGCAUUACUUCGGUAAAAUAUAAAGUUCUUAUGAAUGGGCAGCCAAGAGGAAAUAUUGUUCCAGGUAGAGGCCUGCGUCAAGGAGAUCCUUUGUCUCCUUUCAUUUUUAUUCUGUGCACGGAAGCGCUCGUUAGCCUUCUCAAUCAUGCAGAGAACCAAGGGAAGAUAACGGGGAUGCGCGUCACACGCACAUGUCCUUUGGUA
rnacentral:lncRNA from 1 species